rnacentral:lncRNA from 1 species
UACAAUAUUAGAACCACAUACUGAGAGAACACACUAUCAUUACUACCAGAUACUGCAUAAAACCAGUAAGUAAAAAAUGGAGUGAAACAUUUUGAAAUCAUCAGAGUAGAAAAAAAAAUAAAGAAAGAAAAGUUUUGAAGUUCAGAGUUCCUAUUUGAGUUUUCCGGUGACAACAUUCUUGCACAGUUACUUGGUUCAAUUUGUAAUACAGGUUUUUAUCUCAUCUUGUAUCAUAUUUCAUAAGUUUUAUUGUAAAUCAAAGUGUGAAUCAAAGUAUGAAAGAAAUUUGUUUAGAUAGUUUUCAUGUAUUAUUCAAUAUGUGUAUAUGAAUUUGUUUAUUAUAAAAUAUCGUAUGACAAAUUUUUGAGUAUUUUACAUGAUUAUUAAAUCCUGUAUGUUAAAGAAAACAGUAAAAAUGGACACUUUUAUAAUUUCAUGCACUGUUAAUUUACAUGUACACAGAUCCACAUUUAUAUAUACUGUAGGCAACAAUACAUGUGCACUUUAAUUUUCUUCUACCACAUAGUAGAUCCACAUGCAUAUAAAAAAAAUAAAAUGAAAAAAAAAUUAGUCACGAAAUCACCAUUUCCAGAAUUUUUUUUCCUCAUCGGAAUAUGGCAUCCGCUUUUGAAACUGCCGGAAAAUCCCUUCAAAACAGUUGCCGAAUCAGAUCCGGCGAACUUUUAUCGAACCCGGCAACAGUCAUCAUGCCAGUCGCUGGAAAGCGGCGAACAACCACUGUGUUGCUGCCCCUUUUCCAAAUCUCGUUGGCCACCUCCCCUAAAAAAAAACCGCUGACACCGACCUCCCCUUCCCCUUUCCUGUCACCCGCUACCAACGACACUCCCUCUCUUUUGCUUAUAAUAAACUUGGCCGAGAAGGCCAUUCUUCGACGGUACUAGGACUUAGGAAGAUGAACUUGUGGUAGUUCAUGAAAAAUGGCAAAAAUGUGAAGAUGGUUUAGGUUAAUUUGACUUUUUUUUUUAAUAUUAAGAUAAUAGAAAGUAUAUUUUAUUCAUUUAAGAUAAAAAUGUCACAUGCAAAUUAUGAAUAUGUUAUGAUUUCUCUUACUAGGUGGUUCCACGUAAUAUUUAUUUAUUUAUUCAUUUAUUUUUUUAAAUUAUAAAGUAUAAAGUUUUUGAUAAAUUAGAUUAUAAUCCGUUGUCUAAUAGAUUUUUUAUUAUUUUUAUUUUAUUAUUGUAACUUUUAUCAUGCUAAUUAAGUAUAGUUUUUUCAUUGUUAUUUUGACUUAGUCUAUAUGACGUGAUUUUAUAUAUAAUACUUAGAGAAUCUUAAUAAAUAAUGGAUAUAUUAUUAUUAUUAUUAUUAUUUAUUAUUGUUAUAAUUAUUAAUUAUCAUUAACAAAAUUUAUCAAUUAUUAUCCUUUUAAAAUGAAUUUUACUCUAUUUUAUUAUUUAAGUUAAAAAUAUUUCAAAUAGAUAAAUUGUUACAAGUUUAUAAAACACAAAUCAAUGUUUUAAUGUUAGGUAAAUUUUUGGCAUGUUUAUAAUAUUUGUCUCAUUUAAGAAUGCGUCAUACACAUCUUUCUCAUACAUUUAUUUUUAUUUUUUUUAAAUUGUAAAGUAUAAAGUUUUUGAUAAGUUAGAUUAUAAUCCGUAGUCUAAUAGAUUUUUUAUUAUUUUUAUUUUAUUAUUGUAAAUUUUAUUAUGCUAAUUAAGUAUAGUUUUUUCAUUGUUAUUUUGUCUUAGUCUAUAUGACGUGAUUUUAUAUAUAAUACUUAGAGAAUCUUAAUAAAUAAUGGAUAUAUUAUUAUUAUUAUUAUUUAUUGUUAUAAUUAUUAAUUAUCAUUAACAAAAAUUAAUAAUUGUUUAUCUUUUUAAAAUGAAUUUUACUCUAUUUUAUUAUUUAAGUUAAAAAUAUUUCAAAUAGAUAAAUUGUUACAAGUUUAUAAAACAUAAAUCAAUGUUUUAAUGUUAGGUAAAUUUUUGGCAUGUUUAUAAUAUUUGUAUCAUUUAAGAAUGCGGCAUACACAUCUUUCUGAUACAUUUUAAAAUUCAAGGAUGCAAUAAUGCACCUUAUUAAAAUAUUUUUCUAAAAAUUAGCUUUCAUCGAUUAUUUAAUAUAAGAUAAUAGAUAAGUUUUAAUAUUAAAAAAUGAGCGAACUUAGGUCUUAUCAUAAUUUAAUAAAAUAGUUUAAGUCAAGAUAAGUCAAUAAAAGCGACCGUGCUAGAACCACGGGAUUCUAGGGGUGCCUCAAACCUUCCCCUCGAUCAACAGAAUUCCUUACCCGGUCUUCUAUUUUUACAGACCAACAAAGAGUCAUUUCCUUUUGAUUAGGGAUUCAGAAAGGUGACUUGGAACACCAUAACUCAAUUCCAAGUGGCGACUCUGUAAAUCAAUUAAUCUCUAUUCAAUACCGUCACUUCAAUUGGAAAAACCCUUCGAAUCCUAUCCCUUCGGGCGAAAAAGGGGUGUGACAGAUGGCUCCCAUGUUCCUUAUGAAAUAGUAGCAGUCAAAGAUUCUACCCAUAUUUUAAGGUAAGCACAAUUUAACAUUAUUCUAAUUUAAUCUAAUAUAGAGAAUGUUUAUAGUAUUAAUUGAUAUUAUAACAUCAGGAUUGUAUUGGUGUAAUUGGUGGAACACAUAUACGUGUUAAAGUUUCACAACAUGAAGCACCAAAAUAUCGUGGGAGGAAAGAUUAUCCAACACAAAAUGUACUAGCUGCAUGUAUAUUUGAUUUAAAAUUCACAUAUGUGUUAGCUUGGGUGGGAAGGUACAGCGUCUGAUUCAAGAAUCAUGAAAGAAGCACUAAAUAGUCAAGAUGCACUAAAAAUUCCCAAAGGUAAAAUAUUAUAUAUAUUUAUCUAGAUUUAGUUAUAUGUCUUUUACUUUUUAUGUUUAGGAAAAUUCUACCUUGUUGAUGCUGGGCUUAUGUUGAGAAGCGGGCUUAUUACACCUUAUCGGGGGGAGCGAUAUCACUUGAAAGAGUAUUCAAGAAAUAAUGCACCUCAAAAUUCUCGUGAAUUAUUUAAUUUGCGGCAUUCUUCUUUGCGUAAUGCUAUAGAACACGCAUUUGGAGUUCUUAAACAGAGAUUUCCUAUAAUUUCUAGCUCAACUGAGUUAUCAUAUGGAAUUGAAACUCAAAAGUUGAUUAUAUUUGCAUGUUGUGUCUUGCACAACUAUUUAAGAGGUGUAGAACCAAAUGAUGAGUUACUCGCUCAAGUUGAUGCAGAGCUUAUGAAUGAUGAUAACACUGUGCAUGAAGAACCUCCAAAUUCUAGAGAAACUAACGGAGAGUUUAAGAAAGGGGAGUUGAUUCGAGUUGGCAUCGCAGCUGCCAUGUGGGCUAAUUAUCAAGAUUAAUUUUCUAGAAAAAAACUUAACUGAUAAUUUAUGUCUCAUUUUUUUUAUUGAUGUUAUUUACAGGUAAUUUCGAGAUGCUGUUGUUUUUACUAUAAACAUUGUGUUUUGUUGAUUUACUUUAUAUUAUAUUUUUUUAUCAAUUUUUAUGUGUGACAAUAUGUUUUUUUUUUUCAAAUUGUAUGAAUAUUUUAUCGUAAUUCUAUAGUGGUUGAUAUGGUGAAAAAGGCGA